GGCUGCAACUCGCCUACAUGAAGUCGGAAUUGCUAGUAAUCGCGGUUCAGCAUGCCGCGGUGAAUACGUUCCCGGGCCUUGUACACACCGCCCGUCACACCAUGGGAGUCGGUAACACCCGAAGCCUGUAGUCUAACCGCAAGGGGGACGCAGUCGAAGGUGGGAUUGAUGACUGGGGUGAAGUCGUAACAAGGUACC
rnacentral:rRNA from 1 species